rnacentral:rRNA from 1 species
CCUACGGGAGGCUGCAGUGGGGAAUAUUGGACAAUGGGGGGAACCCUGAUCCAGCCAUGCCGCGUGUGUGAAGAAGGCCCUCGGGUUGUAAAGCACUUUCAGUGAGGAAGAACGCCUGGUGGUUAAUACCCAUCAGGAAAGACAUCACUCACAGAAGAAGCACCGGCUAACUCCGUGCCAGCAGCCGCGGUAAUACGGAUGGUGCGAGCGUUAAUCGGAAUUACUGGGCGUAAAGCGCGCGUAGGUGGCUUGAUAAGCCGGUUGUGAAAGCCCCGGGCUCAACCUGGGAACGGCAUCCGGAACUGUCAAGCUAGAGUGCAGGAGAGGAAGGUAGAAUUCCCGGUGUAGCGGUGAAAUGCGUAGAGAUCGGGAGGAAUACCAGUGGCGAAGGCGGCCUUCUGGACUGACACUGACACUGAGGUGCGAAAGCGUGGGUAGCAAACAGGAUUAGAUACCCGGGUAGUC